GGAAGGAGGAGAGGGGGAGACAAACCAGAUGCCGUUUCCUGCCACUUGGCAAAUAAUGGCUGCAGCAGGGACUUUGCUGGAGCUCAGGAUAGAUAAACCAAUUCAUUUGGAAUAAUGCUGGGAAAAGUUGAAGGAAAGAGAAGAAGAGGAUGACCAGCAGCAAGAAAUAUGGAUACAUCAUUUUUUAAGAAAAGCAAAGAAGAAGCCAUGAAAAGCAAAUACUACUGGCCAUUGGAAAGCAGAACCUAUAAAAGCUCCAGUAUUUGUGUGACCAAGAUGUUCUGGAACCUCCAGUUCCAAGUAUGAAGAUGCAAAUGAAGAUGGAGGGUUUUGGAAUAUGCUCCCUGCUGAAAUAAGAGCAUCUCCUUCUCUGUUUGUUUUCAGGAAGACCCUCAAGACUCUUCUGUUCUUGCAAGCUUUUAAUUAUAAUUAAUUUUAAUAAUUUCAAUAUUUUGGUUUAUAUUGUUUUUAUUGAGUUUUAUGUAUUUUAAUCUGUGAUUUUUAAUACUGAAAUCUGUACACCACCUAGAGACAUAUAUAUCAGGUGGCAUAAAAAUAUGAUGAAUAGAUAAAUGAUAAAUAAAUGUUCCAGGUGGUUCCAUGGCACAUUAGGUUUUUAAGUGAAGCCACAUAUAUCUGCAACAACCACAACUGCCCAUUAGAAAGGACUGUUCCUCUCCACUUUGCAUGCAGAAGGUCCCAGGCUCAGGCCCUGGCAUCUCUACGAAAGGCUGGGAAACAUCCAUCUAAAUCCCUGGAGAGCUUCUGCCAGUCAGAGGAGACAAUACUGAGCUGGGCAGAGCAGUGGCCUGAGUUGGUAUAAGGCAGCUUCCUAUUUUUAUACAUCAGUAUUAUUGACUUAAUGUUAUAGAUGACAAACAAAAAUAAACAUGGAGUUAAUGGGCUUUACUAUUGUGGGAAUUGUGCUUCAAAUUUUGCUAUGCCCUAUUAACUUCCCAAAAGUGUUCUGCUGGGCCCAGGCAAAAGUGAAUGUGAAGGUUGGGGUUUGAGAAGUAGGCAAGUUGGCAGGAUUCCACUGAGCCCAAAACUUGGAAGAGGAAUAUAGGCCCCCACAAAAAGGCAAUGAACAAGACCAUGUGGGUAUUAUGCAGGCCUGCAUAACAUAAGGCCCAGGGGCUGGAUCCUGCCCGCAGGGACUGGCCCACAAGAAGGAAAGUCCUUCAGCAACAGCAGGAGCCAUGAAGAACACUUGGCUUGACCUGUGACAAGCAGCAGCAACUCAAUGCAUUUGUCUACUUGAGACAAGAUGUUUCUCACUCACCUUGCUGGCCCUUGUUGUGGACACCCUGACUCCAACAUUAAACCCAGGGUUACCAAUCCAGAAUUAUGUCGAAUCCAGGCUGGUGUUUGAUUCCAUUUUAUUAAGGAAUCAAUUAAUGUCUGAACUCAGGUGAACUAACCAGUACAUGACACCCAGGUUUCAUGAAUUGUCUCUGGGACAAAUGAUAAUUGCUUUGUGAAGGUAGGGGCAAUACAGCAUUGUUUCUCAAUGUUUGUGAAAUGGGUAAUCAAGAGACACAAUGGCCAGGCUGCGUUUCCUGUCUCACACAUAUCCAAAUACUACUAUGGUGGAAUGCCUUUACAAAUGCAUGGCAGGUAGAUUUACACACACUAGCAAUUUGGAUAUGUUGGUUGCCCAGUUCAUUUAUGUUGAAUCAGUAGUCCAGUUCUGCAUCUUUGCCAGCACCACUGAACUCCUUGCAACAGGAACUCAAAAUGGAGUAAAAUGAUUAAACUCCUAAAGUUUGCCUGAACUUGCUUUCAGGAAAUGUCUUUGGGGGAAGCUAGGAGCUGAGCUCGCAUUUCCUCUUACAAAAAAGUCUAUGUUAAUCAUUGUUCUACUUUGCCAGGGGAUAAUCUUGUCUUUCUUUGAGAGGUAUUUGCUAUGUAGAAUUAGAAGCACUGUUAUACCCUAUAGCUGUCUUCAGAAUUCCACCCUAGGUAGAUGCACACAAAAUAAAAUGAUUUAACUGCUCUCUCACACCUAUAGCUUUGAAUUUUCCUUCCUAACACCUUUUAACACUCUGGAGGGACCAGGCGCCAGAAAAUCUGGGGACAAAAGAAGAUGCCAUUUUGCAAGCUCCAGAGAUGCAGAUUUGCCUUGGGAAUGUAAAUAGAACAAUACUCUGCCCAAACAGGAGAUGGGACCCAGAUCCUAUUUACCCUGGACUGAGCUAAUAUCCUGAACCAAUAUCAAUAACUAGAAGACAGGAUCUGGAGGAUAAAAGCAAAUUGUCACCUUUUGUGAUCCAGGAAGGAUGAUGAUAUUUUGAAUGGACUCUAUGGAAAUCAAGUGAUGGAACAACUAUAAGAAGGGGUCUCUGGACAUGGCAAAUCAGCAAGCUUUGCCUAAGCAGCAGAUCUUUGCUCAUCGCAAGUGCAUCGCAAGUGCCGGCUGCCUAGCUAGGCAGAGGCCUGAAACCUGCAGACAAGAGGCUGCUCAGUGAUUCUUGCUGCAGAGCGAAGAAUCAAGGGCUAACUCUGUGGAAUCCAGGGCCAGCUCCUUGCACCUGAAGCCUACAUCGCUCUCAAGCCUCGCAUCCAAGCUGUGUAAACUUGCUGCCCCAUGUCGGACCCUGGUAAAUAUGGCCUUGGUUUCCACUUCCUCCCUCCCUUCUAAUCACUGCCACCCCUUUCCUAAGCCCUCCCCUUCCUUCUUCUCUCUCUGUUUCUCUCUAAAUGUUUUAUUAGGAUUUAUAAGACAGCUGUAAUUAUUGAUUGCAUAUACAUGUGAUAGCCAGGCACAUUGAACUACACCUUGAAUCAGAAACAUGUUUAAUUUGGAUGACCUGUUUGAAUUUUAUCCUGAUGAGCAAAUAAUAAAGCCCAUUGAAUUAUU